rnacentral:rRNA from 1 species
GGGUAACCUGACCUUUAAAAUGGGAUAACACUUGGAAACAGGUGCUAAUACCGUAUAACAAUCGAAACCGCAUGGUUUUGAUUUGAAAGGCGCUUUCGGGUGUCGCUGAUGGAUGGACCCGCGGUGCAUUAGCUAGUUGGUGAGGUAACGGCUCACCAAGGCCACGAUGCAUAGCCGACCUGAGAGGGUGAUCGGCCACAUUGGGACUGAGACACGGCCCAAACUCCUACGGGAGGCAGCAGUAGGGAAUCUUCGGCAAUGGACGAAAGUCUGACCGAGCAACGCCGCGUGAGUGAAGAAGGUUUUCGGAUCGUAAAACUCUGUUGUUAGAGAAGAACAAGGAUGAGAGUAACUGUUCAUCCCUUGACGGUAUCUAACCAGAAAGCCACGGCUAACUACGUGCCAGCAGCCGCGGUAAUACGUAGGUGGCAAGCGUUGUCCGGAUUUAUUGGGCGUAAAGCGAGCGCAGGCGGUUUCUUAAGUCUGAUGUGAAAGCCCCCCGGCUCAACCGGGGAGGGUCAUUGGAAACUGGGAGACUUGAGUGCAGAAGAGGAGAGUGGAAUUCCAUGUGUAGCGGUGAAAUGCGUAGAUAUAUGGAGGAACACCAGUGGCGAAGGCGGCUCUCUGGUCUGUAACUGACGCUGAGGCUCGAAAGCGUGGGGAGCAAACAGGAUUAGAUACCCUGGUAGUCCACGCCGUAAACGAUGAGUGCUAAGUGUUGGAGGGUUUCCGCCCUUCAGUGCUGCAGCUAACGCAUUAAGCACUCCGCCUGGGGAGUACGACCGCAAGGUUGAAACUCAAAGGAAUUGACGGGGGCCCGCACAAGCGGUGGAGCAUGUGGUUUAAUUCGAAGCAACGCGAAGAACCUUACCAGGUCUUGACAUCCUUUGACCACUCUAGAGAUAGAGCUUCCCCUUCGGGGGCAAAGUGACAGGUGGUGCAUGGUUGUCGUCAGCUCGUGUCGUGAGAUGUUGGGUUAAGUCCCGCAACGAGCGCAACCCUUAUUGUUAGUUGCCAUCAUUCAGUUGGGCACUCUAGCAAGACUGCCGGUGACAAACCGGAGGAAGGUGGGGAUGACGUCAAAUCAUCAUGCCCCUUAUGACCUGGGCUACACACGUGCUACAAUGGGAAGUACAACGAGUUGCGAAGUCGCGAGGCUAAGCUAAUCUCUUAAAGCUUCUCUCAGUUCGGAUUGCAGGUUGCAACU